rnacentral:rRNA from 1 species
CCUACGGGAGGCAGCAGUGAGGAAUAUUGGUCAAUGGCCGUGAGUCUGAACCAGCCAAGUAGCGUGAAGGAUGACUGCUCUAUGGUUUGUAAACUUCUUUUAUAAAGGAAUAAAGCGAGCCACGUGUGCCUUUUUGCAUGUACUUUAUGAAUAAGCAUCGGCUAACUCCGUGCCAGCAGCCGCGGUAAUACGGAGGAUCCGAGCGUUAUCCGGAUUUAUUGGGUUUAAAGGGUGCGUAGGUUGGUUGUUAAGUCAGUGGUGAAAGUUUGCGGCUCAACCGUAAAAUUGCAGUUGAUACUGGCAGUCUUGAGUACAGUUGAGGUAGGCGGAAUGCGUGGUGUAGCGGUGAAAUGCUUAGAUAUCACGAAGAACUCCGAUUGCGAAGGCAGCUUACUAAGCUGUAACUGACAUUGAUGCUCGAAAGUGUGGGUAUCAAACAGGAUUAGAUACCCCUGUAGUC